UUCCCGAUUUCCACUCUUUGUGAUAAAUAUUUUGUGCUGCAAGAUUGUCUUGAUUCAGUAUGUAUGCUAAUAUUGGCAGUUCUUGCUGUUAGUGGUAACUGAUAAUUGGGAAAGUUUCUUAAGUAGACCUGGUCAUAGCAAGUCUAAUACGCCGUAAUUCUCAUGUGAUUAGUAAUUCUUCAUGACCUGUGCACAAAUCACCCUUGUGCGAUUGGUUUGGUUCAGGUCUGGCUGGAUUCGUUGGCUAGAAUUUUACAAUAUAAUCAAGUAUAAGAAAUAUGACUAGAUGUAGAUAAGAGCUUGUCCCAUGCUACAUAGUGGGAUUUGUCAUAUUUCCGUUUAGUGGUUCAUAGUGUAUCAUUUCAUACGGACAAUAGAAAGCACUACUCUAGGAGGGGGAUAGUGCAAGUUGACAUUUUUGUUUCUCUUGAUUUAUGCUUGAGAUGUGUGUGACUUUUGUGGGUGGAGAGGGAAAUAGGAGUGCCUGAAAGAGAAUAGUGAUGGGAAUAUGUAGAACGGAUCGAUCUUUGUUCUUUUGAAAGUGAACAAAUCCGAAUUGAUGCAAAAACUCAGCUCAUAUGCGCAUUGUCGUUGUCACGAUUAGUUCAUCUGGAAUUAACCCUGUGUAAAAGCUCGUUUCAACUGUUCUUGACUUGAUUUAUUGUAGAUUUAAGUUUGAGAAACAUGAAGUUCAACUUAAGCUACUCAUCUAUUUGACUUUGCAUUUUGUUUGAAGCAAAGUUGUUUUCGUUUCUUGUGUAUGUGUAUGGAGGAAAUAGGAAACAUGAUCAGUCACACACUUUCUGAGCAGGGAUUUUAUGUAAAUAUAGUUAUGCCUCAAGUGUUACUCAUAAUUAUGAGCAAUCCCGGUUUCCAAACUAACAGUGAAAAAUAAAUUUCUGUGUCUUUUCUAUCUUCCCGUCCACCUAGUUCCCCUUUACCAAAACACUGGAUUUGCCAACGGUGUACGGAAGGUUGAGCGGAAGAAACAAAACAAUUCUAAAGAUAUCAAUCUUGUAUAGUUUCUACAGCUAGGAUAUUGGUGGAAGAUGGAACGAAAUUCUGUUGCUUGUUAUCUUUUAACUAAUAUUUUGUCUAAAAUGUGGUAAAGAAUCUGUUUUAAUCCUAGUUUCCUCCCACCACAGCUAACAAGGUUGGGAAACUAUUUCAUCCCCAAACAAUAGGAAAAUGAGAAUAUAAAUUUCCAUCUUGUUUUUCCUUACCACCAUCUGUGCCCUUCUAAAGUUAGUCGAUUUAUCUGGUAAUUACAAGGUGAUGCAGGUACAGAAGUUUGAUCAUACCAUGUAUGAGGAAAUUCAAGCUGUUUCUUGUAAUUGCAAAUGAUUUUGUUGCCUAGCUUGUCAAGAUGGUAAAUUUACAUCUGCUAUCUCACAUGCGGACUAGAUGGCAAACAUACACAUUCAAAUCCUCAAGAAACUUAGGGACUUGAAGCUAACGGGCGUUUCUAAAGUGAAGUUCUGGUCAAUUAAAAUCAUGGACUGCCAUUAUCUCGGUGAGGCAAGAUGUACCAUUGCGGAGAUGAGAAAUACAGGGCCAAAUCCCUGUUUGAAUUCCGUUCUACUAAAACAACAUUAAUCGUUUCGUUUGCGUGUUUACUAUGAUAGGAUGUCUGUGAAAUAAUUGGUCGUUAAUUCCGAUCGUAUACCCUGGUUAUGUAAUUUCGGGAUCUCAAAGCCCUUACUGCAUAGUCAAUUUCAUAUAAUUCACAACUUUCAGGUGAUAUAUAUUAGUUCAGAAGGAUGAAACUAUGCGAGGUGAUAUCAGUAUUUCACUUUAUGACAUCAUUUUACGUAUAUA